GGCUGGUCCGAUGGCAGUGUGGGUUAUCAGAACUUAUUAACAUUAGUGUCACUAAAGUUGGUAUUACCCCCCACCCCCCGCUGCUAAAUUUGACUGGGAAA
ensembl:misc_RNA Y_RNA Y RNA